AACGAACGCUGGCGGCAUGCCUAACACAUGCCAGUCGAACGAGACCUUCGGGUCUAGUGGCGCACGGGUGCGUAACGCGUGGGAACCUGCCCUUAGGUUCGGAAUAACUCCCCGAAAGGGGUGCUAAUACCGGAUAAUGUCUUCGGACCAAAGAUUUAUCGCCUUUGGAUGAGCCCGCGUUGGAUUAGCUAGUUGGUAGGGUAAAAGCCUACCAAGGCGACGAUCCAUAGCUGGUCUGAGAGGAUGAUCAGCCACACUGGGACUGAGACACGGCCCAGACUCCUACGGGAGGCAGCAGUGGGGAAUAUUGGACAAUGGGCGAAAGCCUGAUCCAGCAAUGCCGCGUGAGUGAUGAAGGCCUUAGGGUUGUAAAGCUCUUUUACCCGGGAUGAUAAUGACAGUACCGGGAGAAUAAGCUCCGGCUAACUCCGUG
rnacentral:rRNA from 1 species